GGUGGCGCUAGUGGUAAAGAACCUGCCUGCCAAUGCAGGAGACAUAAGAGAUGCAGGUUCAAUCCCUGGGUCGGGAAGAUCCCCCGGAGGCAGGCAUGACAACUGACUCCAGUAUUCUUGCCUGGAGAAUCCCAUGGACAGAGGGAGCCUUGGUCUCUACAGACACUGAAUUAGUUACCUCGGAACCACGGCUCCCAGGGCAAAUACAGGGUGAGGUUCCUCGGAGCCUCCCUUGGGCAAAACAGUGGAGCCACUGACAUACAUUUUGCUGAAUUUCCUCUUCCUUUUUCUGGAUGUGCCAUAUUGUGGAUUCAUUAACACUGAACCCUGGGUCGGCAGCACCAUAACACACACCUGAAGGAUGCUUAUCAAAUGUGUAUUACAUGUGUAUUCUCCUGCGGGCACAUCACAGUCUUCUGGCCCUUAGGAACGCUAGACAGCCCUUCAGCUCUCCACCCAGGAGCAUUUUAAACAAUGAAGUCACCGACAAAAUGCCCAAAGUGGCACUAAAGAGACACAGAAAGGAAGCUUGUUUAGCGUCUGAGACCUGAAACAAGAAGCCAGCGUUACCUUAGUUGGAUCUCAGCUGGGAAUGUGAGCGACUCAAAAUUUUGCCUUUCUGCUCUGACCAUGAACAGCAGAGAAAGCCGCAGAAGUCCUGAGCCGGGGGCUUACAAAUCAGUGUUGGUGGGUAGGUGCGUUGGCAAACGCAGACUCCGUGAACAACGAGGAUCAGUUGUACCCUGUUACAGAAGGCCUGUGAGGAGAGGCACUCGGUCCCCAUCCGCCGAUUGAAUCUGACUGUAAACACAGGUGAAGGAGGCUCUCAGGUGGGGGAAAUGAUCGAGGCUGAUGAAGCGAGGGUGGGAAGCUGGUUCUGGGGUAAUGUGGUGAUGGGAGGGGGCGUGGCCAGCGAGGCAGAGGUGGUCAGAUAGGGGGAGGGCCGUGACUAUCCGGACAAGGGAUCAAACUUUACCCAGCAGACCACAGAGAACCUGGCAAGGGCAGGACUGGAAAAGAGCAUAAUUUUAGGACCUUGAAGGAUGGGUCAGGAGAGGAUGCUCUGGACAGAGGCCGUGUGAGGUCAGCACCAGGCCACCCCUGGAUCCUUAGAAUGGCGCUGAGAGGCUGGUCUAGAGUGAGUGAGAAGAGGAAAUAGCUUUGUGGUGUCAGACUCCCAAGUCUCCGUAUCUGUCCAAAAGGAACAAGCCAGGAUCCAGGCAGGCCAAACACCCAGGGGGCGGCCUUCCCUGACCCCGUCCUCCGUCUCCCUCUUGAUGCGCCCAGGGCUCCCCAUCACGCAUCACGGCUGUUUACCUGCCUGUCGUCUUUGCUGACAUCCAUUAAAACCCUUGAGGUGUCCAGACACUUGCACAUGAUAACUCGUGAUGGGCAUGGUCCUCACGUCAGAGCUGAGCUGGCUGCAACUUGGCAUCUGGGGAGCGCUUCAAUGGGAACCAGCCUCCCCCCAGCACCCUGGACCCCACCCCCUGGGAACUGCAGCUCAGCGUCAGAAGGAUCUCAAAGCUGACUUCUGGAAGGAGGAGGAAGCGUGGUUGAAGCCUCUCCUUUUCCCGGACCCCAGGCCAAUGCCGAAGCAGGUGGCAAGGAGCAGGAAGGAAUGUUCUGGAAGGUGUUGUUUUCUGCUUCCUCACUGCUAUCCAUUGGACCCUCCUAGAUGAUUUUUGUCCGCUUGUUGCUUCUAGAGCCCCACCCUCACCCACCCACCGAGGGAGGUCCAGGCAGGAUCUAACUGAGGAAACACAAAGGGAGCUGAAAUAAAAGACACUUGGCCAAGACUUGAGGGGGGAGUGCAAAAGUGCAUUGGAAAGGAAAGAUGGAAUGCUCUACCCUCCUGUACAUACAGGGCCGAAUGAAAACACCCAUCUGUCUUGCAGAUUGAUGGCGGGCUGGGGAGAGCAAGGAAGCCGGUUUCUCUGUGCAGGCAACAUGCAGAGGCUCCCUUAAAUUACACCUACGUGAUAAAUGACAUCACAUACCAAUUAACACCCGCAAAGAGCCACUUGGGCACCAGGUGUGGGAAUACCAACAACAAAGGCUUUCUCUGAACCUCACAGAAGCCUGGGUGUGUGAGUGACACCAUGGACCGAGGCUGUGGCUCAUUCUGAGGAUUUGGAAUGAAGCUCCCUUGCUUGAGCCUCUUGUGAGUGCCGGUGAGCCAGCCAGGCCUUCUCCUGUCUGAGAUUUAACCUGAGAGAGGACAGCAAGAAAAGACAGGAAGGCAAAAUGGAGGAGAAAGAGGACAAGUAAAAGGAAAAACAGGUUCUCGUGGUGGGACGGUAUGGGGGCAAGUAGGCCACAAGAAAUGGCCUUGACGACUCCUUGAGCCAAAGCUCACCAACCCCAUUAGCCACGCCAGCAUCCUUGCAGCCUCUAGUGAGAUGCCACCCCAAGCCCCUCCUGUGGCUUAAUAUUCAAGGACAGUGGGCCCCAUGAAGCCCAAGGAUGGUCCAUCCUCACCUCUCCCAAGGAGCUCUCUCUGCCCACUCUGUCCACAGCAAUCCUUCCCUCUGUUGACCUCACAUCCAGAGAUGGAUAUACCAGGUGAGAUGGGUAGUUUUAUAUGCUAAUUUGGCUGGGGCAUGAUGCAAGAUAUUAGGUCAAAUACUAAUCAGGAAGUUUUAGUAGGGGUGUUUUGGGGUAGGAUUUACGUUUAAAUCAGAACACUGAGUAAGCAGAUUGCCCUCCAUAGUAUGGGUGGGUCUCAUCCAGCAGAACAAAAUGCUGGCCUCUUC
ensembl:lncRNA